GAUGAACGCUGGCGGCGUGCCUAAUACAUGCAAGUCGAGCGAACGGACGAGAAGCUCGCUUCUCUGAUGUUAGCGGCGGACGGGUGAGUAACACGUGAAUAACCUACCUAUAAUACUGGGAUAACUUCGGGAAACCGGAGCUAAUACCGUAUAAUAUUUUGAACCGCAUGGUUCAAAAGUGAAAGUCGGUCUUGCUGUCACUUAUAUAUGUAUCCCCGCUGCAUUAGCUAGUUGGUAAGGUAACGGCUUACCAAGGCAACGAUGCAUAGCCGACCUGAGAGGGUGAUCGGCCACACUGGAAGUGAGACACGUUCCAGACUCCUAAGGGAGGCAGCAGUAGGGAAUCUUCCGCAAUGGGCGAAAGCCUGACGGAGCAACGCCGCGUGAGUGAUGAAGGUCUUCUGAGCGUAAAACUCUGUUAUUAGGGAAGAACAUAUGUGUAAGUAACUGUGCACAUCUUGACGUUACCUAAUCAGAAAGCCACGGCUAACUACGUG
rnacentral:rRNA from 1 species